rnacentral:rRNA from 1 species
UGUGUAGGUGGCGCCGUAAGUCGGGUGUGAAAUUUCGGAGCUUAACUCCGAAACUGCAUUCGAUACUGCGGUGCUUGAGGACUGGAGAGGAGACUGGAAUUCAUGGUGUAGCAGUGAAAUGCGUAGAGAUCAUGAGGAAGACCAGUGGCGAAGGCGGGUCUCUGGACAGUUCCUGACACUGAGACACAAGGCCAGGGAGCAAACG